GAGGGUAUAGCUCAGUGGUAGAGUGUGUGCCUAGCAUGCACGAGGUCCUAGGUUCAAUCACCAGAACCUCCA
rnacentral:tRNA from 1 species